rnacentral:ncRNA from 2 species
CAUAACCGACAGGGGAGCGCAUGGGCGCUGAGAGUGCGGCACGGUCGCCGCAGACCCUUACACACCUGAUCUGGGUCAUGCCAGCGAAGGAAGUCGUAGGAACCGCCGC